rnacentral:rRNA from 1 species
GGCUUCCCGGGACCGGGUGCCGUCCGGUGCAGCGUACGGUUUCGCCGCCGACGCAUUUGACUCCCUUCCGAGGGACGCCGCAGCCGAUUGGGUAGCUGCAAGCGCGACGGCCAGAGAGGAGGGAGCCGGCAGGUGGCCGGUGGAGGGACUCGUUCCUUCCGCCGGUUGUUAGCCUUCCCUUCGGUGGCACGUCACCCGAUCGAGGUACCACUAAGCCCCGUAACGGGGCUUCUUCGACUCCUCCGUAGGAUGCGGGACAUACCGUCGCAGGCGUGGCCCCGUCGCAUGUCGCACUCCGAGCGAGUGGGCGAGCGUGAGGGACGCAUCGUUGGCGACGGCGGACCCGUGCGGAGAAUCGGAGGCUGGCGGCGAGUAGGUCGGUCACCCACCCGACCCGUCUUGAAACACGGACCAAGGAGUCUAACAUGUGCGCGAGUCGUCGGGUCUUGUUCAGGCCCGUAGGCGCAAUGAAAGCGAAGGCCUUCCUCGCGUCGGCCGAGUCGGGAUCCCCGGGCUCGUCCC